GUGAAAUCUGCAGAUAUCAUGCUGCACAUAGCAGAAUGCAUAUUUAACGACUCAAUUAAAAUAUUUAAAAACAAUUCCAGACAUUUUACAGUUAUCUAAACAUAAAAGGAAACAAUUACAGGUCUAAGAGUACAUCUACUGGGAACUUCACUUGACCUAUCAGAUAUAAGUGCACCAUUAAAGUAGGCGACGCAAUUACAUAUCAUACAAGCGCACAAAUCAAUAAUCACCAAGAAAGAGGUGCACAUAUAAGGAUUACAGUAAUUGCAACCCAUGAGGAUGCACUUCCCAAGGAUCAAUUAGACCUUCUAACACAACCAGCUGGUCUAACAAUGCAAGCUUCUCAUCUUCAAGUGUCUUGACCUCCUCUUCUACCAUCUGCAACUCUCUCCCCAGUCCAAAGCUUUCUUCCUCCAACAGCAAAUACUUCCUUCUGAGAGCACGAUAUUCAUUCCCUGAUGUAGAGGAGUCGGGCAAUGAAUCUGAGUUUGAUCUCUCCUGUUGCUGGAUCAUCGGAGACCCCUCAUUCUUCAAGCUCCUUUUGGAAGCCUUCUGGUUUGCUCUUAAAGGCCCCUUUACGUGUUGAACCUCUCUGAUGUCAUUACCUUGAAAAGGAUUCAAGGAAGCUCUAGAGGUUGAGAUCUUUUUGCGUGGCUCGGAGUUUGUGAUUUCCCCUGAAGGUAGCAUCCUUGGAUCUUGCAUGAUCUUAGCAAGCAGAAUCGAUUUGGGUAUGCAUGUCGUUUAUCUUCUUCAUCUCUCUGUUAUGCUCCUUUUUUCUGUAGAACGGGAGGAGAAGACGAAGGCGGUGGUGGCACUGAUAGGGUUAGCCGGAUUUUUGAGAAUGAGCGGAAAUGGAGGACUAACCCACGGAAUAGUGAAAAGAAUAGAGAC
rnacentral:misc_RNA from 1 species